GCAGGAGCUGAUCUUUCCUUCCAUGCCAGAGUGAACCAUGUCGAUGGCUCUUUAAAGCACACAGGGAGCAUGAGCCAUCAGCCUUAGCCUGUAGCAGUUGAAGAACGCAGUCCGCACAGCUGGCGGUGGGCACAAACCCCUGAAAGCCCCAUGCAACCAACCGACAACCGACCUUAGUGAGAUUGAAGAUAAGCAUAAGCAUAAGCCGAUGCCUCUAUUAGUAUUAAGAAAUCUAGUAUGUUAAAAAGAAGACUUUUAUUAUUUGUUAUUAUUAUUAUAUAACAGUAGCAGCUUAUUCACGCAGUAACAUAACGGGUAUGAGGAGCAAAUAAUAACAAUAAUGAAUAAAUAAAGGAAACAGUAAUUGACAUGGACCAGAAACUUGUGGAACUCGUAUUUUAGAGCAUUUGCUCCAUUACAAACCCAAAAAAAGAAAUAUAAAUUUUAGAUACUUAUUUAGCUAUCCUCAGCCAGGAUGUUUUGUUUGGUUUCCCACGCCUCAAAUGUCUGCUCUGUCCUGUACUUGUACCUAUGUGCUGAAUACAGAAAAAUGCAGAAAUUGAUUAUAGAAAGAACUGUAAGCAGCCAGUAAAAAUAAUCGAAUUUCGCAUUGUUUAUAUUCUGAGAUAGCCAAGACUGCUGCUUAUUCUCUGGGUUCCUUGUAACCGAUUUGACGAUACUGUUGAUUAUACUGGCAGCGAAACAACCCAAGCCACCAGCUAUAGCAGCAUAUGCAGAGCCUAUACUCUUCAUUGCAU